UACGAAGGGGGCUAGCGUUGCUCGGAAUUACUGGGCGUAAAGCGCACGUAGGCGGACCGAUAAGUCGGGGGUGAAAUCCUGGAGCUCAACUCCAGAACUGCAUUCGAAACUGCCGGUCUUGAGUUCGGGAGAGGUGAGUGGAACUGCGAGUGUAGAGGUGAAAUUCGUAGAUAUUCGCAAGAACACCAGUGGCGAAGGCGGCUCACUGGCCCGAUACUGACGCUGAGGUGCGAAAGCGUGGGGAGCAAACAGG
rnacentral:rRNA from 1 species